AGAGUUUGAUCCUGGCUCAGAUUGAACGCUGGCGGAAUGCUUUACACAUGCAAGUCGAACGGCAGCACGGGAGCUUGCUCCUGGUGGCGAGUGGCGAACGGGUGAGUAAUGCGUCGGAACGUACCGAGUAAUGGGGGGUAACGCAGCGAAAGUUGUGCUAAUACCGCAUACGCCCUGAGGGGGAAAGUGGGGGAUCGCAAGACCUCACGUUAUUCGAGCGGCCGACGUCUGAUUAGCUAGUUGGUGGGGUAAUGGCUCACCAAGGCGACGAUCAGUAGCGGGUCUGAGAGGAUGAUCCGCCACACUGGGACUGAGACACGGCCCAGACUCCUACGGGAGGCAGCAGUGGGGAAUUUUGGACAAUGGGGGCAACCCUGAUCCAGCCAUUCCGCGUGAGUGAAGAAGGCCUUCGGGUUGUAAAGCUCUUUCAGCAGGAACGAAACGGUAUGGGCUAAUACCCUGUGCUAAUGACGGUACCUGCAGAAGAAGCACCGGCUAACUACGUGCCAGCAGCCGCGGUAAUACGUAGGGUGCGAGCGUUAAUCGGAAUUACUGGGCGUAAAGCGUGCGCAGGCGGAUUGUUAAGCAAGAUGUGAAAUCCCCGGGCUUAACCUGGGAAUGGCAUUUUGAACUGGCAGUCUAGAGUGUGUCAGAGGGGGGUGGAAUUCCACGUGUAGCAGUGAAAUGCGUAGAGAUGUGGAGGAACACCGAUGGCGAAGGCAGCCCCCUGGGAUAACACUGACGCUCAUGUACGAAAGCGUGGGUAGCAAACAGGAUUAGAUACCCUGGUAGUCCACGCCCUAAACGAUGUCAACUGGUUGUUGGGGGAGUGAAAUCCCUUAGUAACGAAGCUAACGCGUGAAGUUGACCGCCUGGGGAGUACGGUCGCAAGAUUAAAACUUAAAGGAAUUGACGG
rnacentral:rRNA from 1 species